GAUGAACGCUAGCGGCAGGCUUAAUACAUGCAAGUCGAGGGGCAGCAGGUCCCGCAGCAAUGCGGGAUGCUGGCGACCGGCAAACGGGUGCGGAACACGUACAGAACCUUCCUUUAAGUGGGGAAUAGCCCGGGGAAACCCGGAUUAAUACCCCGGACAAUAAUGAAGUGGCAUCACUUUAUUAUUAUAGCAGCAAUGCGCUUGAAGAUUGCUGAGCGGCUGAUUAGGUAGUUGGCGGGGUAACGGCCCACCAAGCCUACGAUCAGUAACAGGUGAGAGAGCACGACCAGUCACACGGGCACUGAGACACGGGCCCGACUCCUACGGGAGGCAGCAGUAAGGAAUAUCGGGCAAUGGACGCAAGUCUGACCCAGCCAUGCCGCGUGGAGGAUGAAGGUCCUCUGGAUUGUAAACUUCUUUUAUCUGGGAAGAAAUCUAUUUUUUCUAAAGUAGUUGACGGUACCAGAUGAAUAAGCACCGGCUAACUCCGUGCCAGCCGCCGCCGUAA
rnacentral:rRNA from 1 species